rnacentral:tRNA from 1 species
GGGCCCGUAGUCCAGUGGUAGAACGCUGCCCUUGCAAGGCAGAGGUCCCGUGUUCGAAUCACGGCGGGUCCA